CGGGGACCCAAGUACCCCUGGGUGGGUGUGCUCGGGCCCGGCCAUCCUUCUAUAAACUUUCGCGCGUCCUUCACCGGUCGGCAAAGGGAUCAGAUAAUUUACCUUGAGAAAAUUAGAGUGUUUCAGGCAGGCUUAGCCGGAAUACAUUAGCAUGGAAUAAUGGAAUAGGACUGAGGUCUCGUUGUUGGUUACGCGGACUACAGUAAUGAUUAAUAGGGACAGUUGGGGGCAUUAGUAUUUAAUAGCUAGAGGUGGAAUUCUCUAAUUUGUUAAAGACUAACUUAUGCGAAAGCAUUUGCCAAGGAUGUUUUCAUUAAUCAAGAACGAAAGUUAGGGGAUCAAAGACGAUCAGAUACCGUCCUAGUCUUAACCAUAAACUAUGCCGACUCGGGAUCGGGAGCGUGUGUUAUCCGCUUUCGGCACCGUAUGAGAAAUCAAAGUCUUUGGGUU
rnacentral:rRNA from 1 species